ensembl:lncRNA
GUCACCGCGGCGACCGGGCGGCAGGAGCCCUGCGCGUGAAGUUUCAUGUUUUCAGCGCCGGCCCACCAGCCCGCAGCGGUCAUGGUCGUGCUAGGCCUGAAAUGCGUUUUGAAUGUGCAGUCUAAGGAUGGCAUUCGGCUCCGAGAAGCUGGAAAAGGUUAAUUAUGCUUCAACUGAAAUAAUGGAUGGUCACCAAAUUGAAUACCAGCCUGAAACCCAUUCUCAGCAUUAAACACCAUGGAUUAGCUGCUUAAAUGGUGUCACAGUGGUAAGAAAUCUGCCUGACAAUGCAGGAGACACAGGGGACACGGACUCAAUUCCUGAAUCAGGAAGAUUCCCUGGAGUAGGAAACCAGUAUUUUUACCUCGAAAAUUCCAUGGACAGAGGAGUCUGGUGGGCUACGAGUCCAGGAGGUCACGAGUUGGACAUGACUGAACACAUUGUUUUGAAUGUAGAAUGACAUGCCUACAAGACAAGACAGAAGCCAUGAGUAGACAGGCCAAGCAUGGAGAAGGAGGUCAGAAUUGAGAUGAGCAGCAAGGGAUGGAGGGGCCCAGAUCUGCUUCAAGGAAGGACUUGCUGCCUCAGCCCUCAACAUCUGGAAUGACUGAGCCUGAUGGGGAUACAACAUUUGAGGCAUUUUGUACCAUGGGAGACACUCUGAUGGAAAAAUUCUUGCUCUCGAGAGCUCUGCUAGGUUGAGGAAGGCUUUGUGGGAUAUGCCACACAAUUUGAUUUCUCCCCUGCCCCAUUCUAUUUCUUUUUUUCCCCCUUCCUAAGUGUGAUUUCUAAGAAAAAUCUUGUACCCCAAACUCAUUCUUAGUGAUUGCUUUGGAGAAGCCAACUUGUAACACAGUGCCAUGGAAUUUUCAGAACUCUAAGCAUUUUGGAGAUUGCUCGAGUUCACUUACCCACUCCAGUGUUCUUGUCUGGAGAAUCCCAGGGACGAGGGAGCAUGGUACGCUGCCGUCUAUGGGGUUGCACAGAGUCGGACACGACUGAUGCGACUUAGCAGCAGCAGCAACAGCAAGUUCACUUUCCCCCUGGAAUUCUAGAAGGAGAACGAGGUCAAUGAAUGUAUCCUAGAAUAUAGCAGGAUAAGGGACCCAGUUGUUACUGGCCUGAUAGGAUGAGGGGAGAUUGCCUUAGCUUGGGAAGAUAUGAAUCUGAGGAAACAAGUGAGCCGUUAAUUUUAUAAUUGGUUUAAAGAUACUUCCGAUCUCCAAGAGGAUUUUAGUUUAAAACCAACAGAUUGCAACAAUUGUUCUAAAUGGGAGCUUCCUUCAAAUAAAUAAUAUCAAAGAAACCAUGGGAAAGUUUGAAACAAGUUUAGUUGCUGUGAACCAGAACACUUUAAUCUCUUAUUAAAUGAGUGCAGUGUGAUAAUAAUAUAAUGAUACCUCCAUUUAGAUAGCAUAUUUAUUUUCCCCAGGACAUUCUUAAAGUACUAUAAUAUAG